rnacentral:rRNA from 1 species
AUUGAACGCUGGCGGCAGGCCUAACACAUGCAAGUCGAACGAGUGGCGGACGGGUGAGUAAUGUCUGGGAAUCUGCAUGAUGGAGGGGGAUAAAUACUGGACACGGUAGCUAAUACCGCAUACCAUCGGAUGUGCCCAGAUGGGAUUAGCUAGUAGGUGGGGUAACGGCUCACCUAGGCGACGAGCCCUAGCUGGUCUGAGAGGAUGACCAGCCACACUGGAACUGAGACACGGCCCAGACGCCGACGGGAGGCAGCAGUGGGGAAUAUUGCACAAUGGGCGCAAGCCUGAUGCAGCCAUGCCGCGUGUAUGAAGAAGGCCUUCGGGUUGUAAAGUACUUUCAGCGGGGAGGCGUUACCCGCAGAAGAAGCACCGGCUAACUCCGUGCCAGCAGCCGCGGUAAUAC